rnacentral:rRNA from 1 species
GACGUAGGAUGCGAACGUUAUCCGGAAUCAUUGGGCGUAAAGAGUUUGUAGACGAACUGUUAAGUAGAAUGUUAAAUACCAGGGCUUAACUCUGGAAAUGUGUUCUAAACUGGCAGAAUAGAGUGUGACAGAGGCAAGUAGAAUUCUGUAUGUAGGGGUAAUAUCCGUAGAUAUACAGAGGAAUACCAAAAGCGAAGGCAGCUUGCUGGGUCAUUACUGACGUUCAAGAACGAAAGCGUGGGGAGCAAACAGG